rnacentral:rRNA from 1 species
AUACGUAGGGUGCGAGCGUUAAUCGGAAUUACUGGGCGUAAAGCGUGCGCAGGCGGUUUUGUAAGUCAGAUGUGAAAUCCCCGGGCUUAACCUGGGAACUGCGUUUGAAACUGCAAGGCUAGAGUGUGGCAGAGGGGGGUGGAAUUCCGCGUGUAGCAGUGAAAUGCGUAGAGAUGUGGAGGAACACCAAUGGCGAAGGCAGCCCCCUGGGUCAACACUGACGCUCAGGCACGAAAGCAUGGGGAGCAAACAGGAUUAGAUACCCCGGUAGUCC